AUGAACUGCUGGAUUCAGUUUGCAAGUACUUUGUUAAGGAUUUUUGCAUAAAUGUUUGUCAAGGAUAUUGACCUAAAGUUUUGUUGUUGCCAGGUUUUGGUAUCAGGAUGAUGCUGGCCUCAUAGAAUGAGCUGGGGAGGGGCCUUUCCUCCUCAAUUUUUUGGAAUAGUUUCAGUAGGAAUGGGACCAGCUCUUCUUUGUUCAUCUGAUAGAAUUCAGCUGUGGAUCCUUCUUGUCCUGCGCUUUAUUUUGUUGAGAGUUGCCCAAGGAAGUCAACAGGAGAGCCAGAUCAGGAAACAGCAACCAGAGGGAGAUGAUCACCUGAACCACUGCUCCAAACCAUGGGCAGUAAAUGCUGUAAAGGUGGUCCAGAUGAAGAUGCAGUAGAAAGACAGAGGCGGCAGAAGAAUAGCCAAAAAAGUGAACCAACCCAAAUGGGUGAAUGGAUAGACAACCUGUGGUACAUGCAUAUCACAGACUACUCUUCAGCUAUAAAAAGUGUUGACCUAAAAGGAAGAGGCUGAGGCACAAAAUAUAAUUUAAAGAGUUUGCUUGAGACAAAGUUAAGACAGCUGCCUGGAAGACUCAGAUGCAGAUUUGAAUCAUCUUCUGGUGUCAUUUUCUUUCAGGCUGAAGGACUUGCUUUAGAUUUCUUGUAAGACAGAUCAACUAGCGAUGAAUUAUCUCUGUCUUUGUCUGGAAAUGUCUUUAUUUUGCUUUCAUUUUUGAAAGACAGUUAAACUGGAUAUGGAAUUCUGGGUCAUAAGGGCUCCUCCC
rnacentral:lncRNA from 1 species